rnacentral:rRNA from 1 species
UACGUAGGUGGCAAGCGUUGUCCGGAAUCAUUGGGCGUAAAGGGCGCGUAGGUGGCCCGGUCAGUCUUUGGUGAAAGCGCGGGGCUCAACCCUGCGUCGGCCAGGGAUACUGCCGCGGCUCGAGCACUGUAGAGGCAGGCGGAAUUCCGGGUGUAGCGGUGGAAUGCGUAGAGAUCCGGAAGAACACCGGUGGCGAAGGCGGCCUGCUGGGCAGUUUGGCUGACACUGAGGCGCGACAGCGUGGGGAGCAAACAGG